GACGAACGCUGGCGGCGUGCUUAACACAUGCAAGUCGAACGGAAAGGCCCCUUCGGGGGUACUCGAGUGGCGAACGGGUGAGCAACACGUGAGUAACCUGCCCUUGACUUCGGGAUAACUUCAGGAAACUGGGGCUAAUACCGGAUAGGAAUCCUUGCUGCAUGGUGGGGGUUGGAAAGCUUCGGCGGUUUUGGAUGGACUCGCGGCUUAUCAGCUUGUUGGUGGGGUAGUGGCUUACCAAGGCUUUGACGGGUAGCCGGCCUGAGAGGGCGACCGGCCACAUUGGGACUGGGAUACGGCCCAGACUCCUACGGGGGGCAGCAAUGGGGAAUAUUGCACAAUGGGCGGAAGCCUGAUGCAGCAACGCCGCGGGCGGGAUGACGGCCUUCGGGUUGUAAACCGCUUUCAGCAGGGGCGAAGCUUGUGGUGACGGUACCUGCAGAAGAAGCACCGGCUAACUACGUG
rnacentral:rRNA from 1 species